AGAGUUUGAUCAUGGCUCAGGACGAACGCUGGCGGCGUGCCUAAUACAUGCAAGUAGAACGCUGAAGAGAGGAGCUUGCUCUUCUUGGAUGAGUUGCGAACGGGUGAGUAACGCGUAGGUAACCUGCCUGGUAGCGGGGGAUAACUAUUGGAAACGAUAGCUAAUACCGCAUAAAAUUGAUUAUCGCAUGAUAAUUAAUUGAAAGAUGCAAUUGCAUCACUACCAGAUGGACCUGCGUUGUAUUAGCUAGUUGGUGAGGUAACGGCUCACCAAGGCGACGAUACAUAGCCGACCUGAGAGGGUGAUCGGCCACACUGGGACUGAGACACGGCCCAGACUCCUACGGGAGGCGGCAGUAGGGAAUCUUCGGCAAUGGGGGGAACCCUGACCGAGCAACGCCGCGUGAGUGAAGAAGGUUUUCGGAUCGUAAAGCUCUGUUGUAAGAGAAGAACGGGUGUGAGAGUGGAAAGUUCACACUGUGACGGUAUCUUACCAGAAAGGGACGGCUAACUACGUGCCAGCAGCCGCGGUAAUACGUAGGUCCCGAGCGUUGUCCGGAUUUAUUGGGCGUAAAGCGAGCGCAGGCGGUUAGAUAAGUCUGAAGUUAAAGGCUGUGGCUUAACCAUAGUAUGCUUUGGAAACUGUUUAACUGAGUGCAGAAGGGGAGAGUGGAAUUCCAUGUGUAGCGGUGAAAUGCGUAGAUAUAUGGAGGAACACCGGUGGCGAAAGCGGCUCUCUGGUCUGUAACUGACGCUGAGGCUCGAAAGCGUGGGGAGCAAACUGGAUUAGAUACCCUGGUAGUCCACGCCGUAAACGAUGAGUGCUAGGUGUUAGGCCCUUUCCGGGGCUUAGUGCCGCAGCUAACGCAUUAAGCACUCCGCCUGGGGAGUACGACCGCAAGGUUGAAACUCAAAGGAAUUGACGGGGGCCCGCACAAGCGGUGGAGCAUGUGGUUUAAUUCGAAGCAACGCGAAGAACCUUACCAGGUCUUGACAUCCCUCUGACCGCUCUAGAGAUAGAGUUUUCCUUCGGGACAGAGGUGACAGGUGGUGCAUGGUUGUCGUCAGCUCGUGUCGUGAGAUGUUGGGUUAAGUCCCGCAACGAGCGCAACCCCUAUUGUUAGUUGCCAUCAUUCAGUUGGGCACUCUAGCGAGACUGCCGGUAAUAAACCGGAGGAAGGUGGGGAUGACGUCAAAUCAUCAUGCCCCUUAUGACCUGGGCUACACACGUGCUACAAUGGCUGGUACAACGAGUCGCAAGCCGGUGACGGCAAGCUAAUCUCUGAAAGCCAGUCUCAGUUCGGAUUGUAGGCUGCAACUCGCCUACAUGAAGUCGGAAUCGCUAGUAAUCGCGGAUCAGCACGCCGCGGUGAAUACGUUCCCGGGCCUUGUACACACCGCCCGUCACACCACGAGAGUUUGUAACACCCGAAGUCGGUGAGGUAACCGCAAGGAGCCAGCCGCCUAAGGUGGGAUAGAUGAUUGGGGUGAAGUCGUAACAAGGUAGCCGUAUCGGAAGGUGCGGCUGGAUCACCUCC
rnacentral:rRNA from 1 species